rnacentral:rRNA from 1 species
UACAGAGGUCUCAAGCGUUGUUCGGAUUCAUUGGGCGUAAAGGGUGUGUAGGUGGCGCGCUAAGUCGGGUGUGAAAUUUCGGAGCUUAACUCCGAAACUGCAUUCGAUACUGGCGUGCUUGAGGACUGGAGAGGAGGCUGGAAUUCAUGGUGUAGCAGUGAAAUGCGUAGAGAUCAUGAGGAAGACCAGUGGCGAAGGCGGGUCUCUGGACAGUUCCUGACACUGAGGCACGAAGGUCAGGGGAGCAAACGGG